UAUAUGUAUUUUAGUAUACAAUUAUGAUUAGAAUAAUUAAAAAUGGUACUUAAUAUUCCAUAAAACUUAAUCUUUCACUCAUAUCUAAACUAUAGUGUUACCAAACAGUAUUAUAUUAAAUCUGUUAUGAUGAUAGUUAUUUCAGGAAUAUUUUACCGCUCAAGUAAAACUGAUGUCACCUUAUGUUUAUAGCCUCACAGGUGAAUACCAGAUGUCUGAAUCAGAUACUCACAAUAAUCUCCUGGAAAAUACAUAGUUUUGUGAUGAAGAACACCCUCAUUGUUUUAAUGAAAUACUCCCAGGAAUUCAAUACCUGAGAGACUCUUGUGUCUAUCAUCUCACUUGGUAGUAUGGGGCAUGCCACAGUAACUUUUAAUCAUAUAUGUUCUCACAUGUACUGAAGGUAAGCUUUCAGGUAAUGUAUUUAAUAACAAC
rnacentral:lncRNA from 1 species